GGAGAGAAGAAAACUGCACAGGAUCUGUGGAGGUCUUCCCAUAGGCCUACAGUAGGGUUGGAAGCCAGGGAAAGGGGGAGACUGGCCUGGAACCAUGAAGAUCGGCCUGCAGGUCUGCUGUAGGGCUUGAGAUUACUGGAAGCAAAGAAACAAGGAGGAAAUUGCCCCUGAUCAGUAUAGCCUGGUCCACAGAUCUCAUGAGUUAAUAGAUC